GGAAGGCGAUGCCGCGCGCGAUGCCGGUGACAUCCUCCGCCUUCGACAGUUCGAACAUCGGCCCGAGAAUUUUUUCGAUAUGCGUCUUCAGCCACAGAUCGAGCCGCGUCUGCACGGCCUCGCGUGACGGGCCAGUCAGCCGUUCGUCCGCAAUGAUGCGGAUACGCGGAUGCAACGCAUCGUCGGCCGCGACGAGCUUGGCGACGGCGUCGCCGGUCCAGCGCAGCGUUCCAUCGGACGCCAGUACGAACUGUUCGUCCGGUGCCUUUGAAAGCUUUUCGGCGCGCGCAUCGAUUUCACCGGCCAGCGCCUUGAGCGCCGCGG
rnacentral:misc_RNA from 1 species